rnacentral:rRNA from 1 species
CAGCAGCCACGGGAACACGAAGGGGGCUAGCGUUGCUCGGAAUCACUGGGCGUAAAGGGUGUGUAGGCGGGUCUUUAAGUCAGAGGUGAAAUCCUGGAGCUCAACUCCAGAACUGCCUUUGAUACUGAGGAUCUUGAGUUCGGGAGAGGUGAGUGGAACUGCGAGUGUAGAGGUGAAAUUCGUAGAUAUUCGCAAGAACACCAGUGGCGAAGGCGGCUCACUGGCCCGAUACUGACGCUGAGGCACGAAAGCGUGGGGAGCAAACAGGAUUAGAUACACCAGUAGUCCCUGUCUCUUAUAA